rnacentral:rRNA from 1 species
CCUACGGGGGGCUGCAGUGGGGAAUAUUGCACAAUGGGCGCAAGCCUGAUGCAGCGACGCCGCGUGAGCGAUGAAGGCCUUCGGGUCGUAAAGCUCUGUCCUAAGGGAAGAAUAAUGACGGUACCUUAGGAGGAAGCCCCGGCUAACUACGUGCCAGCAGCCGCGGUAAUACGUAGGGGGCGAGCGUUAUCCGGAAUCACUGGGCGUAAAGGGUGCGUAGGCGGCCCUGCAAGUCAGGAGUUAAAUCCCUCGGCUCAACCGUAGUAAGCCCUUGGAACUGAUUGGCUUGAGUGCAGGAGAGGAGAGUGGAAUUCCUAGUGUAGCGGUGAAAUGCGUAGAUAUUAGGAGGAACACCAGUGGCGAAGGCGACUCUCUGGACUGUAACUGACGCUGAGGCACGAAAGCGUGGGGAGCAAACAGGAUUAGAUACCCCGGUAGUC